AAAGGAGUUAGAGAUGGCAGAAAAAUCCAUCCCAUCCCACCACGAAUGGGGCAAACAAUACCCAUCUCGACGGGUUGAUUGGGCUGGGCGUAAGUCAUCGCUCCGUCUUGGGUCUCAGCCACAAUUUUCCCAUCCCACCAAACAAUCCGCAAUCUCUAUACUCUAACCCAAACGGCCAUACCCUUCAUCUCCUCCCAUAACCUUAAUCCACAUCCUGUGAUUCUCAUCGUUGGCACCACCAUUUGUUUGCAGCCUAUUCAUCUAUCGAUCACACUACACACGGUCCACAGUCAAUUCAAUCUACUCCCUUCGAUCUACAGGCGGUUCCACACCCGCAGGCCCAAACUUCAUUUCAUAAACCCAAAGGUUCAAUUCUCCAAUUCCCAAACCUAAAACUGUGAUUCUUGUGUGGUUGUUAAGUAUAAUUUACUGUGAAAUUCAUAGACAAAAGAGAAAAACAUAGAGAAUCUACUUUUUUCAUUUUUUUGGUGAGUUGUUACUUAUUCACAAUUUUCCACUGUCUACUUUAAGCUCUAAAAUAUUCAUAAUUUUUAAGAGAAUCGAUUGUGAGGUUGAGUGCAUUUUAUUAUUAUAUGAAGUUGCUUUGCACUGACGUUUUGGAAUCUUCUACAUGGUACUAUCUUUCGUUUAUACCUUUUCGUGCUUUUUUUAACAUACUUAUUGAUGUAGAUGUAUAUUCUCUCUUGGCUAUUUAAUUGAAACGAUUGAUUUACUAGAUUAAAGAUGUCUUCUGUGGUGGUGCAAGUUUGUUUGUGUUUCAAAGUGUUGAGUGUAUUUAAAUAUGUGGAUUGAAUCUUUAUAGGAAAGCAUUUGUGUGGUUAACAUGUGAUGUGGAUGUUCAGUUUUAGCUUUUCUGAAUAGGAUAAACUACACUACAAUAAAGAUAACACAUUUUCUCUGAAAUUUUAUGCCGUGUGAUAUGAAGAUCAACAACCCCACGUGCUAUGACUUGAAUUGUGGAUUUUCUAUGAAUUUUCUUCAUGAGCUCUUAAUUUCAAGCCACUAAGGUGUAAGUUCAACUUAUCAUACACGUGCACAUACAUAGAUUAACCAUCUAGAGACGUGGCAUAUGGAUGCAUUCACUGAUUUUCUAAAAGAACAAUUUAGUAUUUUCUCAGUAGUUGUCAUUUCCAAAUUCAUAUACUAUGACAGCAGUUGAAACUUGAUGGACCCUAUUUUUUCAAGAACAAUUAAGGGGCAUUUCUGGAAACAUUUUAAUGAAUGAUUUGAACUAGUAGGGUAGUUAAAAGAAAACUAUUGAUUUGGGAUUGUUACGAAUUCGAUGUAUGAAAAAGUUUUGGGUAUUUGGAUGAAGUAGACGUUUGGGGAAAAUAAUCUUAAUAUGCAUGUGAGGGUGUAUGAAGAUGACAUGGUUUAGUUAUGUGGUGGUCAUUCAGUGUUCAUAAAAUUUCCCACAUUUGGAUAAAAUUCAUCGUGUUUAAUGCCACUUGUUAUUUACACAGAUGUCUGGCCCAAGUAGUACUGGAAGUAUUGGAUUAGGACCAAUACGUGAGAAAUAUAGCAUGACCAAUAUAUCGGUGAGCAAUGUCCCACAAGAAGAUCCAGUUGAACCGUUACCAAUGUGGAUGAAAGGCUAAUAAGCCUAAGUGACGAGAAGUGUGAUAUUGGAGAACUAUUUUCCCGAAAGAGGAAAUUGAUUCAGCUAUUUGAGAGCACUACAAAAGAUAAAAUAUUAGUGUGGAAUGGAGGGUUAUAUGCAAUCAUUACAAAAAACAGUUAGGGGUGACACAAAAAAUAGUACAAAGCAUUUGCAUGAUCAUUUGAAGAGAUGUGUAUUUCGUUAUCAAGAUGAUAUUUGCCAAGCAACAUUAAAUUUAAAAAAGGAUGCUGCGAGUGGUAAGGUCACAAUGGGUACUUACUCUUUCGAUCCAGAUAAGUGUAGGUAUAGUCUCGCAAAAAUGGUGAUUUUGUAUGAACAUUCUUUGUCUUCGAUUGAUCACAUUCGAUUUCGAGAGUUCUUGCACGACCUGCAACCAUUAUUUAAAGUUCAUUCUCGUAACACUUUGAAGAGCGACAUUUUGACGAUCUAUGAAUACGAGAAAGAAAAAAGCAAGAUUGCAGUUGAGAGAUUGAGAGUUGAAUUUCGAUCACUACCGAUAUGUGGGCCUCUUCUAAUCAAAAGAAUGGAUUCAUGGUUAUCACUACUCAUUUCAUAUAUGAUGCUUGGAAACUAUAGAGUCGAAUAAUGAGGUGCAGUAAAAAAUUACAUUCACUUAUUUUCAUAAUUUACCAAAAUUAUAUUCUUUUAGUUGAUUUAAUUUGCUCUCGAACGAACUUAGUUUUAUAUAUGUGACGUGCUUUCAAAAACUCUAUUGUACAGUUUGCUGGAAGAAAUAUUGAUCGUAACUUACUAACUUUGACCAUAGAUAAUUGCACCACAAAUGAUGCUAUGAUCAAUAUUGUGUUAAAUCAUCUUUGUACUCGUUCUCUUGUAUUGAAUGGUG
rnacentral:lncRNA from 1 species